UAAUACAGAGAGUGCAAACGUUGUUCGGAAUUACUGGGCUUAAAGCGCACGUAGGCGGCAUUGUUAGUGUCGGGUGAAAGCCCACGGCUCACCCGUGGAACUGCCCGGCAAACUGCAGUGCUAGAGUGUGGUAGGGGAGAGCGGAACUCAUGGUGGAGCGGUGAAAUGCGUAGAUAUCAUGAGGAACACCGGUGGCGAAGGCGGCUCUCUGGUCCAUAACUGACGCUGAGGUGCGAAAGCUAGGGUAGCGAACGGGAUUAGAUACCCCGGUAGUCCUAGCCGUAAACGAUGGGUACUAGCUUGGGGUCUCCCUGUGUGAUCCCAGGUGAAGCUAAAGUAUUAAGUACCCCGCCUGGGGAGUAUGGUCGCAAGGCUG
rnacentral:rRNA from 1 species